UGCCAAGCUAAUAAGGGCGUACGGUGGAUGCCUAGGCGCUAGGAGCCGACGAAGGACGCGGUAGGCUGCGAAAAGCUCGGGGGAGGAGCCAAACAUCCUGUGAUCCCGAGAUGUCCGAAUGGGGGAACCCACCAGUGGUCAUGCGCUGGUACCCAGGUCUGAAUACAUAGGGCCUGUGGAGGGAACCGGGGGAACUGAAACAUCUAAGUACCCCGAGGAAGAGAAAGUAAAUAACGAGUCCCUGAGUAGCGGCGAGCGAAACGGGAUCAGCCCAAACCUCUGUGGUGUCAAAGCCUUGCGGCGUUGCCACAGGGGUGUCGUGGGACCCAUCAGACCGGGCGCAAGACCGGUCAGGGAGUUACAAAGCCGGCGGCUAGUCGAGCUGUCUGGAAAGUCAGGCCAAAGAAGGUAAUAGCCCUGUAGGCGAAAGCCGACCGGCCUCCCGAUGGAGUUCCCAAGUAACACGGAGCCCGAGAAAUUCCGUGUGAAUUUGCGAGGCCCACCUCGUAAGGCUAACUACUUCCUAGCGACCGAUAGUGAACCAGUACCGUGAGGGAAAGGUGAAAAGUACCCCGGGAGGGGAGUGAAAUAGUACCUGAACCCGUGCGCUUACAAGCAGUCAGAGCGUCGUACACGCGACUUCGGUCGCGUGUGCCGUGAUGGCGUGCCUUUUGAAGAAUGAGCCGGCGAGUUACUCGUACGUGGCGAGGUUAAGGAGAGAUCCGUAGCCGUAGCGAAAGCGAGUCUGAAUAGGGCGUUUAGUCGCGUGCGGUAGACCCGAAGCCGGGUGAUCUAUCCAUGGGCAGGGUGAAGCGGAGGUAAGACUCCGUGGAGGCCCGAACCCACCAGGGUUGAAAACCUGGGGGAUGACCUGUGGAUAGGGGUGAAAGGCCAAUCAAACCCGGUGAUAGCUGGUUCUCCCCGAAAUGCAUUUAGGUGCAGCGUCACG
rnacentral:rRNA from 1 species